UUAGUGUGCUCAGAGCAAGGUGCCUGAGAAUGUCUCCUCUGUUUCUAACAAACCCAACAGCAGAUUCCUGUCAUCGUGAUGAGGGGCACAAAACUUGUGGCCUCCCAAUGAACAAUUCCCUACAUGG